GGUCGGGAAGGUAGUUGCGGCGGAUUUACUCUAGGACGAAAGUCCGUCCAACUCCUUUCCGUCU
rnacentral:pre_miRNA from 1 species